rnacentral:lncRNA from 1 species
AGAGCCUACUGUUAGCCCUAGCUCCUGCCAACCUAGCAGUUCCAAAACAUGCAAAUGUGAGUAGAUCAAUAGGUACCGCUCCGGCAAGAAGGUAACGGCGCUCCAUACAGUCAUGCCGGCCACAUGACCUUGGAGGUGUCUACGGACAACGCCGGCUCUUCGGCUUAGAAAUGGAGAUGAGCAUCAACCCCCAGAGUCAGGGGAAAACCUUUACCUUUACCUUUUACUAUACCUUGGCACAGUUUGAGGAUAAUGCCUCCUGUGGUGGUAGAGGAUGAUGGGAGUUGUAAUCCUGCUGUGUUUGGAAACCCAUGGGAAAUUAUUGAAACAGUUGUUUCCCUGAUAUUCCUCAUCUUCUUAUUGUGGUUGGCAUGCCUGCUGUGUGCAUUUUAAAGGAUGUGUUCUUUUUUCUACUUGCCCAGAUCUCUCUCUGGGGAUCUGACAAGAGUCAAACUGAGAACCAUUGGAGGUCCAGGAGAAAAGGCUGUUCAUGUGGAGGCUCCCUCCCUUUAAUGCCCUUUCUCCUUCCUUUGGAUGUUGCGGGAAAACAGCCAAGGUUUGUGCAACCCUUUGGCCACUCCCUCCCAGAAAAGGUGCAAAACCUAGCUGGGAUCGGCCAGAGCGUUCAGUCAAAGGCAAGGAGGCAACACACCUGGACAGAGAGCACUUCAGGCAGCAGGAGUGACAGCUUUCUGAGUCGCUUACAAGGGUGACUGCUGCUCCGGGGGUUGCCGGUGUGUAUCACGGGACUUCUGAUAAGCUGGCUGGUGUCUUCAUUUUGUGGUCCAGUAGAAGUUGUUUCCUCUCAACUCGGUGCCCGCCAUCUUGCCGUUGCUGUGGGCCUUGGGACCUGUAAUCUGCCUUCGAUCAUGUUUAAAAGGUAAAGGUAAAGGUUUCCCCUGACGUUAAGUCCAGUCAUGUCUGACUCUGGGGGUUGGUGCUCAUCUCCAUUUCUAAGCCGAAGAGCUGGCGUUGUCCGUAGACACCUCCAAGGUCAUGUGGCCGGCAUGACUGCAUGGAGCGCCCUUACCUUCUAAUAAUAUUUAUGAGGACCUUUAUAUUCUUUAUUUGCACUUUACAAUUCUGAGAUUGAAUACUUCUGUUUUAUCGACAGCAAUUGCUGUAUUUUAUUGUUUUUACCAGGGGGUACUGUGAAUUUAUGAUGUUAUGUUUGACUGUUUAUUCUCUAUGUUUUGUUUUGCACUUGUUGUAUUUUGUAUGUCACACCUUGAGUGUUCUGUGAGCCACUUCGAGUCCCUCUGGGAGAUGGUGGCGGGAUAUAAAUAGAUGCUGAUGAUUAUUUAUUUAUUUAUUUAUUUAUUUACAGCAUUUAUAUUCUGCCCUUCUCACCCCGAAGGGGACUCAGGGCGAAUCACAUUACACAUAUAGGCAAACAUUCAAUGCCUUUUAACAUAGAACAAAGACAAACAAA